rnacentral:tRNA from 1 species
GCCGGCGUAUUCCAACGGCAGAGAAACGGCGCCUAGAACGCCGCCAGUGCGGGUUCGAAUCCCGCCGCCGGCA